rnacentral:tRNA from 1 species
GCCGGUGUGGCGGAAUGGCAGACGCACCGCACUCAAAAUGCGGCGGGAAACCAUGUCGGUUCGAGUCCGACCACCGGCACCA